rnacentral:tRNA from 1 species
UCCCAGGCGGCUCAGUGGUAAAGAGUCCACCUGCCAAUGCAGGAGACUCAGGUUCGAUCCCUGAUCUGGGAC